UAGCUUGUCUGUUAAUAAGUGGCC
rnacentral:piRNA from 1 species